rnacentral:lncRNA from 1 species
AAGAGAAAUCUUUGAUAGAAGAAUAGUCGGUUCAAGAAGAGCCGAGCCAAUCGAGUGAAAGUGAAGAAUCGGCUGAUGAAGCCGAGGUAUAUGCGGCUGGUAAAGAACCACUUUCUUCAAAGAGAAAUUCUUGAUAGAACAACAGUUGGUUCAAGAAGAGCCGAGCCAAUAGAGUAAAAGCAAAGAAUCGGCUGAUGAAGCC